GUAGCAGCCAUCACGGUGUGCACGCUUUUAUUUAUAAGCAUAGUUCAUAAACCAAAUAAGGGGGAAGAACACCUUUAAUCAAUGUUCCCAUGAGAAGCUUGCUGCGGGAACGUUAAAUACCGGUGGCCAAGCAUGCAAUCAACAUAGUUUAGAUAUCUCAUCUAACGUAAUUUAUGCGUAUCAAAAUGUCUUUUAGGCAGGGUGCUUUGAAAUUUGAUGAGUGUCUUGCACUAAAUGGAACGUUUAAAAUGAGUUAUGUUCCUGUGUUACAGACGGAGGGUCCUAAAAGUAACCCUCUCUUUUUAGUUGAACCACAAAAACAAUAGAAUAAUAGCUCCUGCCCCACUAUUAAUGCAAAUUAGCGGACUGCUUUUCUUGGUUAACUAUUGGCUGUUAGACAUAUAAACUUUCACAUCCGACCUCACCAUUGGUUAAAGGUAGAUCCUCAUCCCCAAGGCACGUUGACAGAUCUGUGAACAUUUUAGCCUAUCAUAAGCCGUUUUAUUGUAAAAAGAGAAGAGAUAUAAAAGCAAUGUGUGAAAACGUUAUCUCCCCCCCACACACACAUUUUUUUUUGAGUGAGGCGCAUUUAAUAGUUUUUGCGUCAUAACGUCGGGCCGAGGUAAGCAGGGAGGUAAAGUACGGGCUCUUGGGCUGCAGUUUCCAGUGGGCCGUGUAUACCGUCUGCUUCAGAAAGGUCGCUAUGCGGAGCGGAUAUUCCGACUGAAGAUAAGCACACUAGCCUAUUUUACAGUUUCAAAGUAAUUUAAUGUUAUUUGUAUUUUCCCUUAAAAAGUAACUUUUUAAAAUGUAUCAAGCAAAUAAUUUGCUAAAUAUUGUUUUGUAUUUUAGUCUCUUUUUACAGCAUUAUUGAUUAAAACAACAAUUAAGGUACAGUGUUGUAGUAUAAACAUAAACUAUAGGGAUACCAUUAUCUAGAGAUGAAAAUUCAGUUAAUAAAUUAUUUUUUUCUAUUUAAUUUAAUGUUAUAUAAAGGUGGCUUCUUUAAAGCGUAUAAUUAAUGAUAACACUUUAUUUAGUUGUCUGAAUUGCAGGAGACUGUUGUAUAUGUUCUGUAGCACUAAUAUAAUAUGACUCAUUUUGAUGCCUUUUUAACAGCUAAAGGGAACUUUAAAUCUCUCUUUCUGUAUAUCUUCUCAGAGCCAAUCACUUCAGAAAAGGACUGAAUUAUCUGUAACCUACUUUGCACUCACAACAAAGGAAUGAAACUUUAUGUUCUCUUUGCAUUCCAGAAUAACAGUUCUCACUUCUUGUGAUGAUCUUGGGUUUAAGCUGGUGACAACUAGCCCACAAAUCAUAUCCUAAAAAAGCAGAAAGAAGCUGAUUCUGUGACAGAAGAUAAUAUAAUGUGAAAGAUAAAAUUAAGGCAUCAUAUACUAUUUGAUUAGCCUGUAACAGCUAAUAAGCAAGUGUCGACUUAAAUAUCCAGGGAAGAUUCUGGUAAUAAUGUCA